GAACGAAUGAAAAUGAACAUUUGCCGUAGUUUCAAGUGAGGCAACGCUCUGAUGUAUCGCAGGAAAAUAGACGAAAAAGUGUGCUUCAAAUUGUAAGAAGAACAAUGAGAAGAGGUAUCGAGAGAAAAAAGGAAGAAUAAACGGUUGCUGCUUUGGAGUGAACCAAAAAAAUGAACUGGAAUAUACACAGUGGCAAAAGAAACUAUUGAUUGGGGACAGUAAAGCUUCUGAGUGAAGUUUCAAGUGAGGCAACGCUCUGAUGUAUAGCAGGAAAAUAGACGAAAAAGUGUGCUUCAAAUCGUAAGAAGAACAAUGAGAAGAGGUAUCGAGAGAAAAAACGAAGAAUAAACGGUUGCUGCUUUGGAGUGAACCAAAAAAAUGAACUGGAAUAUACACAGUGGCAAAAGAAACUCUUGAUUGCGGACAGUAAAGCUUCUGAGUGAAGUUUCAAGUGAGGCAACGCUCUGAUGUAUCGCAGGAAAAUAGACGAAAAAGUGUGCUUCAAAUCGUAAGAAGAACAAUGAGAGAGAAAAAAGAAGAAUAAACGGUUGCUGCUUUGGAGUGAACCAAAAAAAUGAACUGGAAUAUACACAGUGGCAAAAGAAACUCUUGAUUGGGGACAGUAAAGCUUCUGAGUGAAGGUAAGCGCGCAUUUGUUUGCAUCGCACGAACGGAACGAAUGAAAAUGAACAUUUGCCGUAGUUUCAAGUGAGGCAACGCUCUGAUGUAUAGCAGGAAAAUAGACGAAAAAGUGUGCUUCAAAUCGUAAGAAGAACAAUGAGAAGAGGUAUCGAGAGAAAAAAGGAAGAAUAAACGGUUGCUGCUUUGGAGUGAACCAAAAAAGUGAACUGGAAUAUACACAGUGGCAAAAGAAACUAUUGAUUGCGGACAGUAAAGCUUUUGAGUGAAGGUAAGCGCGCAUUUGUUGGUAUCGCGCGAACGGAACGAAUGAAAAUGAACAUUUGCCGUAGUUUCAAGUGAGGCAACGCUCUGAUGUAUCGCAGGAAAAUAGACGAA